rnacentral:rRNA from 1 species
UACGUAGGCAGCAAGCGUUGUUCGGAGUUACUGGGCGUAAAGGGUGUGUAGGCGGUUGCUUAAGUUUGGUGUGAAAUCUCCCGGCUCAACUGGGAGGGUGCGCCGAAUACUGAGUGACUUCGAGUGCGGGAGAGGAAAGUGGAAUUCCUGGUGUAGCGGUGAAAUGCGUAGAUAUCAGGAGGAACACCGGUGGUGUAGACGGCUUUCUGGACCGUAACUGACGCUGAGACACGAAAGCGUGGGUAGCAAACAGG